rnacentral:rRNA from 1 species
CUGGGCGGCUGCUUACCUGCGAGUCGAACGGGCGUAGCAAUACGUCAGUGGCAGACGGGUGAGUAACGCGUGGGAACGUACCUUUUGGUUCGGAACAACUGAGGGAAACUUCAGCUAAUACCGGAUAAGCCCUUACGGGGAAAGAUUUAUCGCCGAAAGAUCGGCCCGCGUCUGAUUAGCUAGUUGGUGAGGUAAUGGCUCACCAAGGCGACGAUCAGUAGCUGGUCUGAGAGGAUGAUCAGCCACAUUGGGACUGAGACACGGCCCAAACUCCUACGGGAGGCAGCAGUGGGGAAUAUUGGACAAUGGGGGCAACCCUGAUCCAGCCAUGCCGCGUGAGUGAUGAAGGCCCUAGGGUUGUAAAGCUCUUUUGUGCGGGAAGAUAAUGACGGUACCGCAAGAAUAAGCCCCGGCUAACUUCGUGCCAGCAGCCGCGGUAAUACGAAGGGGGCUAGCGUUGCUCGGAAUCACUGGGCGUAAAGGGUGCGUAGGCGGGUUUCUAAGUCAGAGGUGAAAGCCUGGAGCUCAACUCCAGAACUGCCUUUGAUACUGGAAGUCUUGAGUAUGGCAGAGGUGAGUGGAACUGCGAGUGUAGAGGUGAAAUUCGUAGAUAUUCGCAAGAACACCAGUGGCGAAGGCGGCUCACUGGGCCAUUACUGACGCUGAGGCACGAAAGCGUGGGGAGCAAACAGGAUUAGAUACCCUGGUAGUCCACGCCGUAACGAUGAAUGCCAGCCGUUAGUGGGUUUACUCACUAGUGGCGCAGCUAACGCUUUAAGCAUUCCGCCUGGGGAGUACGGUCGCAGAUUAAACUCAAAGG